CCCGAUCCGCCUAUUAUUAGCCUGCUAGUAGUAGAGAGUUGUUAGUCAUUUUUAGAUGCUCGUAGCAGCGCUAAGGGUGCCUCUGCGCCUCUGGGGGUAAAUUGUUAGCCGCUACAGUAACAACUAACAAGGGCAGCCUUUGUUAUCUACUAUAGUAGCAACUAACAAGGGCCGUAUAGUUUUUAUUUUCCUAAUAAAUAAAUCGAGACUUGGAAAACUAACUUUAUUCCCAUUUUCUGGUUAUUGACGAAAUGUGGACUUAUUUAAUAAACAACUAAAUUACUCAUAUUUUACUGCGGCCAAAAUAUUUAUGAAUAAUACUAAAAUAGGGAUUAAAGAUGAGAUUUUGUGUAGAUAAUCAAGGCCCUAUCCUAUUUAUAGGAGGAAACUGUGCGCUGUAUGCAUAUAUAUUAUUAUUUAAUGAACUUUCUUUUCAGAGGUCCCUAUAUUCUAAUUUCGACAAUUAUAACAUAUACACUGUACAUUGCAUAAACUUCUCUCGAACAGUUCUGAGUCGCUUUUUGAUCCACCAUUUUAUAAUUUGCUCCCUUUACUAUAGGAGUAUUCUUCCCGUCUUAAUGGAUGUUUUGGUACAUUAAAAUCUGAUCUUAUCUAUUAUCUAUUCCAAUCGUAUUUCUGACUAUAGCAGUAACGAUUUGUAGGCCUACUAAUUUAAUAAAAAUAAAAAAAACCCACGUAAUUUGUCCUUUCGUUUUAAAUGUAUCGAACGUUAAAUUGUUAUUCGUAAUAUCUCUUUUCAAUGCUAAAGUAUGAAAACAUUUGUUAGCUAUGUAAAUUCAUCAAAUCAAAAGUUCUAGAAAGAUUUGGAAUAUUCUGAUUCUGUAACAAAUGUAAAUUUAUAUUUCGGUCAUUUUUGAAAAUAGUGAGUUACUAGGGAUUCGUCGUGGCCUAGAUUCCGAUUUGACUUUUAAUGGAGGUAUAACCGUGGCUGUAACAGGGACUUUCUUCUUGUCAAAAUUUUAUAUCGAAUGCAGCUAAGUCAAUUUAUUAUGUCACACAAUUAAUUAUUAUCUUUAAUCCAGUCAAAAACUGGAACUAUUUUGCGAUAUGGUUCCAUUUCGAGCGGUGAUCUGGUUAUGCGACGCGUUUACCCGAAUAAUUCGCUUUCAGAAUCUGAUUAUUCUGUUACCAAUUUAAUAAUAUAAUUUAAAAAAAACAAAACUGUUUAGGAUUAUCUUAUUUACGGAAGAGAACGUGUAAUGGGUCGAAUGUCUCGUCAAUACAAUAUCAGACAUUCUGAGAUUAAUUUGUUUUUAUCGUUAGAUAAAUUUAUCGUCUCAAGGAAUGAGGCCGAAAGUUUUGAAACUGAAUCAAUCGGGUUGACUGAAAAAAAAAAAAAAAAAAAAAACCCUAAGCAUGUCGCCACGGCCAUGGCAUCAUUAUAUCUAACCUUUUAUGCUUUUAUGAAGUCAAAGAACACGUUGAUUUGUUUCGCGACCUAUACAUAGGCCUACAGUAUUUGUUUAAAGACCCAAACGCUUUCCAUUUGGACUGACAGGAAUGGUCAAAGAAUUUUGUCUGCGAGAUACAGUUCUGACAGGAAUUAGUCAUUCAGAUGGUACGAUAAACAAGUUCCCCUGUACACGGCAUGCACGUACCGAAGUUGAUUUGGAGAAAAAUAAAGCUCCUUAAGCAGAGAAAAGACACAAGAAUGUAUUGAUGUUGGAUGUUUAAGUUGAAAAAAUCAAACUAAAGACUUCAGCAGAAGUGAAAUGAUCCCAAAAAGAACUUAAGGGGGGAAUAUGUUUCAAGGAAUAAUGAAAUCUAGAGAAGAAUACCAGAAGAAAAAUGGUACAGGAGAAAUUUCAAGAUCUAGAUUGGUAAAAUGCUUUCUAGAUGGAGCUUAGUAAAUGCAUUUCAAGAUUGAGCUUAUUAAAAAUUGAAUUCUAGAAAUAGAAACCUUUGAUUACCGUGCACCACAAGCUUUUGCUUACGAUAAUGUCGAAUCAUUUUGGUGUUGCAGAAAUUGCAAAAGAGUGGAUGGCGUCAUAUCUACAAAACAGGAGUUUUCGUGUAAAAGUUAAGAAUGAUUUCUCCGAUGUAAAACAUGUAAAUUUUUCAGUUCCACAAGGUAGCAUCAAUGGUCCGAUCUACUUUAUCUGCUAUACCAGUACACUAGCAUCCUGCAUCAGACACAAUCAAACAUUAGUUGGCUACGCCGAUGACCACAGCUUGUAUGACAGUUUUAAAGCCGGAGAUCUUGAUGCAAAAUCUCAUAUUGCUUCCCGCGUAUCAGAGUCCUUAGACGACGUUAAAAUCUGGAUGCUGCAUAAUCGACUAAAGAUGAACGACGAAAAAACUGAGGUUAUUAUCUUCGGUGGUAGCCGUUAGCUCCACAAGUCUACCAUCCACGAAUUAAGAGUUGGGGAUUCUGUAGUUGGGUCUUCAUCCCGUGUUAAAUUCCUGGGGAUGCAUUUGGACGAAAACUUAAACUUAAAGAGUCAUUUUGCCCAGAAGACUUGUUGUGCUGCUUCGGCAAUGUUCAACUUGCGGAAAUUGAGUCUGUUUCUUUCGCGAGAAUCAUCUCUUCAAAUUGCCAGUUCUUUAGUUUUCUCCCAUAUGGAUUACAGAAAUAGUCUGCUCUGUGGUUUGCCAGCAACUACUCUUCAACCUCUCCAACGAAUUCAAAAUUUUACUGCAAAGCUAAUUCUUGGUGUUAAUUACGGCCAUAGCUCGACUGGUGCUCUGAAAGAACUUCAUAUAUUGCCAGUUGAAGUCCGAUGCCAAUUCAAGCUACUGGUACUGGUGUAUAAGUGUCUCCACAACCUUGCCCCUGUCUACCUUUCUGAAUUAUUGCAGUCCCAAACUUCAUCAUGCAAUAUGAGAUCGUCAUCAAAAAACAUUUAUACCCAAGACAAAAAGUAAAACAUUUGCAGACAGAUCGUUCAGUGUGCUAGGACCGCAGCUCUGGAAUACCCUUCCAGAAAGUGUGAAACAAUGUCAAACUGUAACGGAUUUUAAAAAGAAACUCAAAACAUAUUUUUUUUGUAAAGCAUUUCUUUAACGUUUGUGUAAGACUUUGUGAAGCGCCAUUGAAUGCAUGGCAGUAAUGUGCACUAUAUCAAAUGUAAUAUGUUUUGUUAUGUUAUGUUAUUACAUCGUUUCUUCACAGACAGUUGAGUUGAUGAUAAUGUAACAAUAAAGAACUUUUUUCAUUGGAUCUUAUUAUUUCAUUACAAAUUUUGAAUGUAAAUACAUGUAACAUUUUGUUUUAUAUUUUGAAAUAUUGUAUAUAUUAUGGAAAAUUGUGAUAAUUGUUUAUUAAUUUUGAAAUAUCUAGACUGUGAUUUGGUUUUAAUUCAUGCAUAUGUAACGUAAUC